AAGUUGGCUCCACCAUUAAGCCAGUGCUAUAACUCAUAAUAAUGUCAGGGAAGUACUCGAGAACAAGAGAACGAAAGUAGACGUGCUUUCUGCCCACCACUAUUUCUUUAUUUUUUUAACUUUUUUUUAUUUGGAUCAGUCAGCCAUGUUUCAGUCCAUAUAAAAAAAUAAUAAUAUCCGUGGUGUGUUUGAACACCCACGGAACAUCUUUGCAGAAAAUGAGAAUUUAUAAACAGGAAGUUUUAUGUAACUUCUUCGUAUGUAUUAUAAAUUAUCAUUCAUCAUGUAAUUUUGUUUAUGUAUGCACACUACUUAUGUUUUCUAUUCGAUCUAAUCUGAAUAUCGCCUUUUCAGCAAUUUUAAUUUAACCGUGUACCUUAGUGUAUUUAUAUUAUAAAACAUAACAUAUUUAACAGGUAAAAUAAUAACAUUGGAAAAUGGCAAACAACCGAUGUUGUACGAAGGAUAUACGUAUUUCAAGCAUUACAAGGUUCGUGAUUUAUUUCACUGGAGUUGCACGAGAUUCGGAAAGUGUAAAGCUUUUGUGUUAGCUGGGGACGAAGAUUUGACGAUACACAGCGUACAUAAUGAACACAAUCAUGGUGUCCAGAACUUUUACGUUAAUAGCGCUGGAAAGUAUAUUAAGUGUUGAAGCUUCAGGUUCAACUUCGCUUCACGACACAAUUGACUUUAUAUUUGGUCAGGCGUCAACUGAUCAAAUUAGUGACGGUGAACAUAGAAUUAAUUUCAAUAUACUGCUGGCACUGCUCAUAGUAAGAA